UCUUAUUGUGAAAAUCUGCUGUAGCUGUCUUUCGUCCAGGGAAAGUGAUCAUUUUAUUGUUGUUUUGUGACCGUAAAAGGAAAAUCAGAGACCGGAGGACAUGAUAAUACAUCCGUUCCAGGUGAAGUUUUAGAAGCAAAGUUCCAGAACAGUUUCUGCCAGAAGAACGGAGGGCAGCUCUGUGAGGAAGUACAACGGAGACUCAAGUCCUUUGGAGGAGCCUUUUUUCCUGGACCUGCUGCAUCAGCCUGACUGGUUGUUGAAGAGGAGCUGUGAUUUCUGCCUGAAGUGUCGGGCUGAUGAGCUGCAAAACAACAUCAAGAAGGAGCAUCAAGCACUCUGUCAACUCCAAACACCAAGUUAAUGUUCAAUCAAAACUGCUCCUUAAAGUGUUCGAAUUGGACGUUCUUUAUUUAGGAGUUGGUUUUACUUGCUCCAUGUUUAAAAUUUUGAAUCUUAAAGCUUUUUUAAGUCGAUGUUGACAUUUUCAAAGCAGUUUAGAAACAUCUCUUCUUGCAGGUAAAAACUGAAAGCUAACAUGAGCAUUGUAAUAAUAGAUAUGAAAAUAAACAAAAUGGUUUCAUGUCAA